CAUAAAUUGUUCUCAGUUUUGUUUCCAUUUCUCUUCUUAUUCAGCCGCAGCCGUUUCAAAAUUCCCUAUCCAGCAGCAACGCUAUCAACGUGAGAGGCGUUAUUAUUGUGUAAUUAAUGCCAUAAUAAAUUUGAUUUACGGAGGCAUGAUUAAAAAUAAACUCUUUUCACUUUUCUUUCUUUUGUUAGUUUAGGGUUUUUUCCGUCAUCGUCGACAGAUCCAGGUCUUGAUAAUUUGAUUGAAAGUUUGGUUCUGUCACAAUAGAGCCAUCAAUAGUGAUCCUUAAUUUUUCCAGUUCAAUCUGUCAUACUUGCUUACCCAAAAACACUGCGAGGAGGUCAUUCUCACACUUUUCUUAAAGCCGAAGUAUGGCCUGUGAUUUACUGGUUGAGAUUCAAAACUUUUGAUGGGAGUUGAAUACUGACUCAUUUCAUUUUGCGGAAUACUAUGUUACAAUUAAAUUGUAUCGGACACCAUUUUAUACACACAUCUGGUGGGGAAAUGGUUCAAGGAUUGAGUUGUUACCUGGGUCUUCUCAAUUGUAAAUCACGACCAGGAUUCAACUGAAUUAGCGAGAGGUGGACAACAGAUUACACCUCUUGAUCGCAAGUGCAAGGAUAGAUGGAACCAUGUAAUUCUUAGAGAUUUAUGUAUCGAUAAUAUUGUAAAGAAAUAAAAUUUUAAUUGUGUUUAUUCGUCUCUACGAUAAACCUAUAAAAUGUUGUAGAUUUGUUUCCUCUUUGAUUGAAUUUACUGUAUCAUUUUUAUAGGAUACAAUGUAAAUGUUGAGUCAAACAGGAUGCAAUAUGUGAAGGCCAGAUGACUCAAAAACAUUGUGCAUUUUUUUUUGUGUAGAAGUCAUUGUGAAAUUCGGUUUUGUAAUUUCACAAUGACUUGGCAAGUGGUUAGUUCAAAUUUUUGGGUAUUA